rnacentral:rRNA from 1 species
UACAGAGGGUGCAAGCGUUGUUCGGAAUUAUUGGGCGUAAAGCGCGUGUAGGCGGCUUUGCAAGUCGGGUGUGAAAUCCCUCAGCUUAACUGAGGAAGUGCGCCCGAAACUGCAGAGCUUGAAUACCAGAGAGGAUGGCGGAAUUCCCCAAGUAGAGGUGAAAUUCGUAGAGAUGGGGAGGAACACCGGUGGCGAAGGCGACUUACUGGACACAUAUUGACGCUGAGGUGCGAAAGCGUGGGGAGCAAACAGG